UAUGGCGCGAGGCUUCCCGAAUUGCUUGUGAAGAAGGGUUUAGAGCUUUCUGGAGAGGAAACUUGGUUACGAUUGCUCAUCGAUUGCCUUACUCUUCCAUUAGCUUUUAUGCUUACGAACGCUACAAAAAUUCCUAGGGUUUGAAUUUGGGGGUUUUGGUGAUGAUUUUUCGAUAAUGAGGCAGCGGAUCUUCGGAAAGGUGCAAGAUGAGCCCGCUUUGCUUGUAAUUUGGUUUAUUUGAAGAAUUUGUAGUUCUAGGUUUGGAUUUGUGGGGCUUUUUCGGCGCCUUUGAGGCUAGGGUUAGAGAAUGAGGCAUCGGAUCGUUAAAUAGAUGCAACUUCAGCUCCUCUUGGCUUUUUAUUUGAAUGAGUUGGUGAAUGAGACAGUGUAUUGUCAACUAGAUUUAAUAUGAACUCUUUUUUGUUACAAUUUGAUUGUGUUGGUGAA